GGGUUGUGAGGUUAAGCGACUAAGCGUACACGGUGGAUGCCCUGGCAGUCAGAGGCGAUGAAGGGCGUGCUAAUCUGCGAUAAGCGCCGGUAAGGUGAUAUGAACCGUUAUAACCGGCGAUACCCGAAUGGGGAAACCCAGUGUGACUCGUCACACUAUCAUUAACUGAAUCCAUAGGUUAAUGAGGCGAACCGGGGGAACUGAAACAUCUAAGUACCCCGAGGAAAAGAAAUCAACCGAGAUUCCCCCAGUAGCGGCGAGCGAACGGGGAGGAGCCCAGAGCCUGAAUCAGCAUGUGUGUUAGUGGAAGCGUCUGGAAAGGCGCGCGAUACAGGGUGACAGCCCCGUACACAAAAGCGCAUGUGCUGUGAGCUCGAUGAGUAGGGCGGGACACGUGGUAUCCUGUCUGAAUAUGGGGGGACCAUCCUCCAAGGCUAAAUACUCCUGACUGACCGAUAGUGAACCAGUACCGUGAGGGAAAGGCGAAAAGAACCCCGGCGAGGGGAGUGAAAAAGAACCUGAAACCGUGUACGUACAAGCAGUGGGAGCACCCUUCGGGGUGUGACUGCGUACCUUUUGUAUAAUGGGUCAGCGACUUAUAUUCUGUAGCAAGGUUAACCGAAUAGGGGAGCCGUAGGGAAACCGAGUCUUAACCGGGCGUUAAGUUGCAGGGUAUAGACCCGAAACCCGGUGAUCUAGCCAUGGGCAGGUUGAAGGUUGGGUAACACUAACUGGAGGACCGAACCGACUAAUGUUGAAAAAUUAGCGGAUGACCUGUGGCUGGGGGUGAAAGGCCAAUCAAACCGGGAGAUAGCUGGUUCUCCCCGAAAGCUAUUUAGGUAGCGCCUCGUGAAUUCAUCUCCGGGGGUAGAGCACUGUUUCGGCUAGGGGGCCAUCCCGGCUUACCAACCCGAUGCAAACUGCGAAUACCGGAGAAUGUUAUCACGGGAGACACACGGCGGGUGCUAACGUCCGUCGUGAAGAGGGAAACAACCCAGACCGCCAGCUAAGGUCCCAAAGUCAUGGUUAAGUGGGAAACGAUGUGGGAAGGCCCAGACAGCCAGGAUGUUGGCUUAGAAGCAGCCAUCAUUUAAAGAAAGCGUAAUAGCUCACUGGUCGAGUCGGCCUGCGCGGAAGAUGUAACGGGGCUAAACCAUGCACCGAAGCUGCGGCAGCGACGCUUAUGCGUUGUUGGGUAGGGGAGCGUUCUGUAAGCCUGUGAAGGUGGCCUGUGAGGGUUGCUGGAGGUAUCAGAAGUGCGAAUGCUGACAUAAGUAACGAUAAAGCGGGUGAAAAGCCCGCUCGCCGGAAGACCAAGGGUUCCUGUCCAACGUUAAUCGGGGCAGGGUGAGUCGACCCCUAAGGCGAGGCCGAAAGGCGUAGUCGAUGGGAAACGGGUUAAUAUUCCCGUACUUGGUGUUACUGCGAAGGGGGGACGGAGAAGGCUAUGUUGGCCGGGCGACGGUUGUCCCGGUUUAAGCGUGUAGGCUGGUUUUCCAGGCAAAUCCGGAAAAUCAAGGCUGAGGCGUGACGACGAGGCACUACGGUGCUGAAGCAACAAAUGCCCUGCUUCCAGGAAAAGCCUCUAAGCAUCAGGUAACAUCAAAUCGUACCCCAAACCGACACAGGUGGUCAGGUAGAGAAUACCAAGGCGCUUGAGAGAACUCGGGUGAAGGAACUAGGCAAAAUGGUGCCGUAACUUCGGGAGAAGGCACGCUGACACGUAGGUGAAGUGAUUUACUCAUGGAGCUGAAGUCAGUCGAAGAUACCAGCUGGCUGCAACUGUUUAUUAAAAACACAGCACUGUGCAAACACGAAAGUGGACGUAUACGGUGUGACGCCUGCCCGGUGCCGGAAGGUUAAUUGAUGGGGUCAGCGCAAGCGAAGCUCCUGAUCGAAGCCCCGGUAAACGGCGGCCGUAACUAUAACGGUCCUAAGGUAGCGAAAUUCCUUGUCGGGUAAGUUCCGACCUGCACGAAUGGCGUAAUGAUGGCCAGGCUGUCUCCACCCGAGACUCAGUGAAAUUGAACUCGCUGUGAAGAUGCAGUGUACCCGCGGCAAGACGGAAAGACCCCGUGAACCUUUACUAUAGCUUGACACUGAACAUUGAGCCUUGAUGUGUAGGAUAGGUGGGAGGCUUUGAAGCGUGGACGCCAGUCUGCGUGGAGCCGACCUUGAAAUACCACCCUUUAAUGUUUGAUGUUCUAACGUGGACCCGUAAUCCGGGUUGCGGACAGUGUCUGGUGGGUAGUUUGACUGGGGCGGUCUCCUCCUAAAGAGUAACGGAGGAGCACGAAGGUUGGCUAAUCCUGGUCGGACAUCAGGAGGUUAGUGCAAUGGCAUAAGCCAGCUUGACUGCGAGCGUGACGGCGCGAGCAGGUGCGAAAGCAGGUCAUAGUGAUCCGGUGGUUCUGAAUGGAAGGGCCAUCGCUCAACGGAUAAAAGGUACUCCGGGGAUAACAGGCUGAUACCGCCCAAGAGUUCAUAUCGACGGCGGUGUUUGGCACCUCGAUGUCGGCUCAUCACAUCCUGGGGCUGAAGUAGGUCCCAAGGGUAUGGCUGUUCGCCAUUUAAAGUGGUACGCGAGCUGGGUUUAGAACGUCGUGAGACAGUUCGGUCCCUAUCUGCCGUGGGCGCUGGAGAACUGAGGGGGGCUGCUCCUAGUACGAGAGGACCGGAGUGGACGCAUCACUGGUGUUCGGGUUGUCAUGCCAAUGGCACUGCCCGGUAGCUAAAUGCGGAAGAGAUAAGUGCUGAAAGCAUCUAAGCACGAAACUUGCCCCGAGAUGAGUUCUCCCUGAGACUUUAGGUCUCCUGAAGGAACGUUGAAGACGACGACGUUGAUAGGCCGGGUGUGUAAGCGCAGCGAUGCGUUGAGCUAACCGGUACUAAUGAACCGUGAGGCUUAACCUUACAACGCCGAAG
rnacentral:rRNA from 1 species